UAAUUCGUAAAGUCAAAAUGGCUGAGAACUUUAAAAUUGGAUGGUAACAGAUCACGACUUCUGGUCAUGAUUAAACCUGGUCAUAUUCUAAGCAGAAAGAUCUCCCAGCCAUGUUUGUAGCUGUUUCCAUCCCUUCACACUGACUCAACGUUCUAGGCUUCAGUGUGGCACGCAGGCAGAGUGACAAUCUUGAAAUCUUCUUAUAUAGACACUAACUUGCCAGUGCAUCAGGCUGCUUUUAAGGGGCCAUUACAGAUGGAUACAAUGAAUAUCACUGGAAUAUCCAAUUUUGAUACUUGCGAGCGAAAGGAUAACGUAAACAAUAACAGCAGCCGAGAUCUUAGACAUGAUUCUCUUCUGAAUUAUACCAGCGUAAAUUGACUGCCCAGUAUUCUCAGCGUGAACCCCAGUUCCAUCGACAUGCCACCUGUUUCAAACCCCUUGGAACUUGAGCGCCUCUGAAUGCCUGACGCAUGGAUCAUAACUCAGCGAACUGAGUUGCCAUUUUUUCCCAAGGGCGGAUCUGUAGUAUUGCAUAACCAGAAGAUUGGAAACAGUAUUCUUUUAUGAUCAGUUCAGUCUCAGUAAUGCAAUGUGCUUGAAUGCAAAUAUAACUAUUCCAAUGGAGAAAGAAGGGGAAACUUUGCUACCUGCGAAGUGAAGACUUCUUCUUAGGUCGCAGUGGAGAUAAAGGCAAUUAUAUUUACAGUAUUGUCCACAGACUUCAUAAAUGUCGCUUUGGAAUAUAGAGCCGGAUUGUCAGCUGCGAUAAACUAGCAUAACUACAUUGAAGGCAAGGAAACAUUUGGUUUACACCAGCCGAGGAUCUUGCUGAUAGUUUUACCCCCCUCAGUCACGAAAAGCUGGAUGUCACAUUUCAACAACAUAGAGCAAAGGAGUGGGAAAAAGAGAGGUGUGUUUUUAAGCAGGCCAAUGGAACGAAAUACCCGUAUAGCUCACACAAGGAGGAUGUAAAAGCAGCAAAGAGUCCUGGGGCACCUUAUAGACUAACAGACGUUUUGGAGCAUGAGCUUUCAUGGGUGAAUACCCACUUCGUCAGAUGCAUGUACAAGGCGGAUGCAGCUUUUCAAAUGACAAAGACCACACCCUGCAUGACACUCUGCACAGCCCAUAGAGACAUCUAGUGGCUGAAUAAUACCCUGCAAGUAAACAGAUAGAAGAAGAAGCUGAAGUUGAAGAGAGCUGCUUCUCCUGGUGUUUCCAGUCUGAAGGGAGGGGAUAUUUUAUUUCCUUCUCUAUAUUUUCUGCCAUGUCAUGCCCCAAUCCAGGUUUUCCUCUGCAUGCACUCUGAGCCGUCUUCCCUCUGAAUCUUGACCUGCAGAGGAGUGAGGAGAAAACAGUUUUUCACGCUGAUCUAUUUUUGUUGAUGUAGAUCACUGCUGUUCAGAGUUGGCUGUGAAGAGGGGCAGGCUCAAGACCACUCUGCCUUCCUUUGCUUGAGGAACGCAGCUACCGCACUAGCACAGGACUGGCCUGGGGAACACAGCAGAAAACAAUUUUCAAGGCUAAAACAAAAGAGUAAGAGAUCUCCCUUGGCAACUGGUUUGACUGGACUUCCACCAGGCAUACUGCUUCUGAGACAAGAACCCUGCCAUAUAAAUGAAUUCAAUUUCCAGUGACCAACUGGAAGCUCCACAGUACCACGGAAGUAGCUGUUCUAGUGAUGUUUGCAGGCAUGACUAGGAGAGGAGAUGCCAAAAAACUGAUGAGAGACCUUGUUCUUGUUCUGGCCUCGCAAGUUGCACAUCAAGGUGAGGAAGAAUAUGUGUGGAGAGUAGGCAUGGAUGCAGGUCCCUUUAAGUACUAAAAGUAGCCUUCUAUAUGGAGCAGUGUCUCAAGAUCCCUGUAUGCCCACCCCCUUCCUUGCUAGUGUGCAGAGAAUGGUUAAAAGGGGGAUGUGGAAUGGGUGAAGACAUAGGCUUAACUGUGAUAUUCACCAUGUUUGGUGGUGGUGUUAGUAUUAUUAGUUGUAUUGGAGUAGCAACUAGAGGCCCAAAUUAUUAUUUGUUGUUAUUAUUUAGUGUUUGUAUUUCAGUAGCCGGUCUGUUCCCCGACCAUAGACUAGGAUCCCAUUAUGCUAGGCGCUGCACAGACAAAGAACAAAUAGCUGGCCCCUACCCCAAAGACCUUACAAUGUAAGUAUAAGACAAGAGACGACGGAUGGAGACAGACAGGGGAGUGCAAGGAAACAGUGAGAUAAGGUUGGUGAGCCUGGGCUGUAUUGUGCAGGGUGUGGUACAUACACCUAACAAUAUGAUGGUCCUUGCCCCAAGGAGUUUACAAUCCAAGCCACAGCAGGUGGAAGGGAGGACAAGGAGACAAUGAAACAGUUAAGAUCACCACAGCAAGCAGCAGUCACAGCAUACCAGCUGCCUAACCUGUCAAGAGUGUAGUAGGCAACACAACAGAUGGCGAGGAUUGAAGGAGAAAUUCGAAGGAGGGUGGAGUAGUAGCCUUGUAUGUUCUUCUCUUAGGAUUUACUUCUGCUCCUAGGCAGCACUCGCAUUAAUGCUAAGCUGGAUUCCCCUGCCCUCAGCUCUGCUUGUCACAUGGUAUAUGUGCAAUGCUCUAUACCAGUCGUUCUUAACCUUUACUGCAGCCUGCACCCCUUUGGUUCUCAAAAUACGUUCUU